rnacentral:sRNA from 1 species
AAACACGUGAUUUCGUGGGAGAGGCGAUAUAUAAGGGAAUGAAAUAAUUUUGAACCUAAUUUCGUUCAGAAGGAUUAUGCGGCACGUCGCUGUUCUUCUGUUUUUCGUUACCGCCAGUAAGGCGGUGACAUUUUCGAAAAGGGCAUCCGGAGGAUGCGACACACAAGCAGACGUUACAUUUUUGUUAGAUUCGUCCGAUACAGUUGGACCAGACAAUUUUAAAAAACAGUUAGAAUUCAUCAAAAGCACAGUGAACAACUUACAAAUAGCUCCAGAUAAAACACAUGUGAGUGUUGUGACGUUUAGCAAUGGCGUAUACAACCAGUUCUUCCUAAAUCAGUAUUCUACGAAAUCGGACAUUAUUAAUGCCAUUUCUGGAAUACCAUACCGAGGAGGGAGAACGCAUACUGCUGACGCAAUACGUUACGUCACACAGACGACGUACAACCCCAUCCAUGGUGCCAGGGGAAGUGUGCCCCAUGUUGCUGUGCUUGUUACUAAUGGAGGGUCUACCACACCCGACAUUACAAAAGUUCAGGCACAGACCGCUAAGGACAACAACGUGAUUCUGUAUGGAGUUGGCGUUGGAUCGGGAGUCAAUAUGCAGGAAUUAACUUCAGUUACCAGUGAUCCUGAUUCAAGAUACGUUCUGAAGGCCGAUAGUUAUGGCUCUUUAGAUGCUCUUUCCAAUGGCUUGUCCACCAAAAUCUGCAAUGAACUCCCGCCAAACCCAAAUCAAUUACCUCCACCCAACAGUUGCUUGCAGAAGGCUGACCUUGCUUUCCUGGUCGAUUCCUCUGCCAGUGUUGGUCCCGGCAAUUUCCAGAAACUGGAAACAUUCCUGAAAGGUGCCAUAACGCGACUAGACGUUGGUACGGAUAAAGUUCACGUUGGCCUCAUGCAAUACGGAAGCUAUCCAUCCAUAGCGUUUCCUUUAGAUAUGUACAGCAACAGAGGGGAUGCCCUGAAAGCUGUGGAGAAAAUGAACUUCAUGGGCGGCAGCAGUGAUGCUGCCGGGGCAAUCCAGUACAUGACUGACAAGAUGUUUGGUUCCAGCAGUGGAGCACGAGGCAACGUCCCGCGCAUUGCUAUCGUUUUGACGGACGGGAACUCGAACAACGACGCCAGCACCACCAGCGCUGCUGAUAAAGCCAGACAAUCCAACAUUGGGUUGAUUGCCGUCGGCGCUGGACCAAAUAUUCAGACCUACCAGCUGAACCACAUUGCUGACUCCCCAGACAAAGUCAUCACCGUGAGCGACGUCAACAACAUCGACUCAGUCAUCGACCAAGUCCUGCAAAAGGCGUGUCAAAUACAAGCCACAAUUCCACCCGUGACGACUUCGGCUCCAGGUGCAACCUCAUCUCCUGACAAGUGCAAGGACAUGGUCAACAACUGCAGACAGUACGGACAGCAAGUGUGCACGAACUACAAGCCCUGGGCAAGAGACAACUGUGCUCUCUUCUGUGGUUUUUGCCAACCUCAACUUGUGACGUGCAGUGACAAAAUGAACAACUGUGCUGCCUACGGCCAGGGCGUUUGUACGUCUUAUGGCGAAUGGGCACAUGAUAACUGCCAGCAAUUCUGUGGAUUUUGCGGACCAACAACAACCUCCAACGGAUUUUAUGGCAAAUGUUCAUACAAAGGAAAUUCUUACCAGACCGGAGAAAGUUGGAAAGAUGGCUGCGAUUAUGAGUGUGUUUGUGAGGAUGGACAAGCAGGAAAAUACAGAUGUUUUAACAAAUGCCCAGUUUACUACAACCUGCCCACAGACUGUACCCUGGUUAGACAGACAGGAGAGUGCUGUUUGAAACCAGUUUGUAACUUCCAUCAAAAAAUUGUUGCAACUGAAAGCAGUGGAAAAGGAUCUACACCUAGUGGAAUAAAGGUAUGUGUCUACAAGAACAAACAAUACUUCCAGGGACAAACUUGGCGAGAUGAUUGUGAUAAACAGUGCACAUGUACUAACUCCACUGCAGGAUUGUACAGAUGUGAAACAAUCUGUCCAGUCUACACUUCCAUUCCAACAUACUGUAAGCUGAAGAAAGAGCCAGGAGAGUGUUGUGAGAAACCAGUGUGUGAGUUCAGUCAGCAGCAUGGCUCCUUCACAGGAACCGGCUCUACUAGUGGAAAGGGAACCGGUAUGGCCCCUUCAACUCCCAAGCCAUGUGUGGAUCGUUUGAAUGUGUGUGAAAAUUAUGGAAAACAGGUCUGCAUUGAUUACAGAGAAUGGGCUGGUGACAACUGUGCCAAAUAUUGUGGAAUCUGCUCUUCCACACAAGCAACACCAGGUCCAAAUGAUGUGUGUUUGUAUGAAGGAACAACUUAUAAACAGGAUGCCGUGUGGAAUGUUGGCUGUGAUGCCAAAUGUACCUGUGAAAAUGCCAUAUAUGGUUACUACAGAUGUGUUAGCAAUUGUCCAACCUACAACAAUUUACCAACUGGCUGUUACCUUAUGAAGAAAGCAGGAGAAUGCUGUAAAGUGGUGGAGUGUGACAGUGGAACAUUCGUUAGUUCUACCACCAAUCUGAACUCCCUGGCCAAUGGAGGAGGAAUUUACAUCAAGAAUCCCAAUGGAGGCAGCCAGUUUGUUACUCCAACCAUGCCCUCCGGAGGAACUCCAGCCCCUGGUUCAGGAGGCACUGGAAAUAAGGCUCCCACCCUUAAUGGAUGCUUGUACAAAGGAAAAUUAUAUGUCAAGGAUCAGACUUGGGAAGAUGGAUGUGAAUUUUCUUGUAUUUGUACUGAUGAAAGUACUGGAGCUUACACUUGCAGACAAAAAUGUCCAAGCUAUGCUCAGAUUCCCACGUCCUGUCAUAUGGAGGCUGACCCUAACGACCCCUGCUGCCGCAAACCGGUCUGCCACUACGAUCCUAUCACUGGCCAGACCUAUGUCCCUAUCCCCGCUUUCGCUCCCGCUGUGACCGGUAAAGGAGUGGUGGAACCUCCCACCAGCUCUGACCUGUUAAACAACACACAGUACACUGCCACAGUGGCUCUCUUCCAGACUGGGUUCACGCCCGUUCCCCCCACAGUUCAAUCAAACAUAACAGGAGGAAUUGGUUACUGCGUGUACAAGGGAAAACAAUACACACAGUCGCAGAGAUGGGAUGAUGGGUGUACAUUUACUUGUGUAUGUGAGGAUUCCAGGAUUGGAAAAUACAGAUGUUUUGAAAAGUGUGUAAGAUAUGACAACCUUCCCCAGCCCUACUGUUUCCUUGAAAACGAUCCUGAUAAUCCUUGUUGUCAGCGACCCAAAUGUGUCUUCCCUGUCAAUUACAUAACCAACGUCGGAGAAAUCACCACACCUAUCCCCAAAACAGACUACUGUGAAUACCAUGGACAGCACUACCAACAAGGACAGUCUUGGUAUGAUGGCUGUAGCUACAAGUGUACCUGUGAGGAUGCUUUGGGAGGGAAAUACAGAUGCAUUGAGAGAUGUCCCUCCUAUGCUAACAUUCCCCCUACCUGCAAGUUUGUGACUGACCCUGAUGACCCCACCUGUUGUCAGAUUCCUCAGUGUCCUCAAAACAACACCUCAACCAACCAAGUGCCGACCCCUGCCCCGUCCGGUGUAUACUCAGGAGUUGAUGGACGCAAUGGUCAGUGCGUGUACAAAGGUGUGUUGUACAGUCAGGACCAGCGAUGGGAGGAUGGCUGUGAGUUGAACUGUGUGUGUACAGAUGCCAUGCAGGGACUGUACCAGUGUACAGACAAGUGCCCCAAGUACACCAACCUACCCCCCAACUGUCAGCUGGUCAGUGAUUUCUCCAAUCCGUGCUGUAAGAAACCCCAGUGUGACUUCUCAGCCACCACAGCCAGCAUCUCUGGGACAGGACCUACCAGCAAGCCUGAUGUCAUCCCAACCUUAGCACCUGAUCAGAGGUACUGUGUAUACCAGGGUGCAACCUACGUUCAAGGCCAGACAUGGGAUGAUGGAUGUCAGUUCCGAUGCAGAUGUGACGAUGCUUCCCGUGGACUUUACAUCUGUAACGACAGGUGUCCCAAAUACGAUAACCUGCCAGCUGAAUGUAAACUUGCGUCCGACCCCAAUGACCCCUGCUGCUUGGCCCCGAAGUGUAACAUCACCGAUCCCAACAAGAUCCCCACAGCCGCCCCUGGAGUGAUCAGUGGAAUCUUUAACAUCCCAACCCCAGCUCCCAUCCCUGGUGGACCGACCCUUGCACCUAAACUUUAUAAUUUCUGCGAGUACAAGGGCAUGAGAUACAUACAGAACCAGACGUGGGAAGACGGUUGUGAAUACAACUGUAAAUGUGUGGAUGCUGCCAUGGGAAAAUAUGAGUGCACAGAAAAGUGCCAGAAAUACCUCAGUUUGCCAGCAGGGUGCAUCCUGACCAAAGAUCCCUCCAACCCUUGUUGUAAAGUGCCAAACUGUGACUCCCCCACGCUAGCUCCUAACCUCACCCCUAUAGCCCCCACCCCAGCCCUGCCUGGAGGACCCACUCUUCAGCCCCAGCUGCCAACACAAGCACCCCAGCCGAAAGAUGUGUGCAUGUACAAGGGCCAGUCAUACACCACGGGACAGAAGUGGUAUGAUGGCUGUGACUUUUCAUGUAUCUGUGAAGAUGGAAAGAAAGGAGUCUAUAGAUGUAGCCAAAGAUGUCCAACCUAUCCUCCUGUGGCCUCCACCUGCACUAUGCAGCCUGACCCCAAGGACCCGAUCUGCUGCAAGGUGCCCUAUUGUAAUGGGGUAGCUGUGCCAGGAACCAUCAGUGGUGGAAGUGUUAUCCCCACCCCUGCACCUAGCCUCAGCCCCACAGCAUCCCCCACCCCAGGGUCCAAUGUUGCCACACCCACUCCUGCUCCGACAUUACCAGAAGUUUGUGUUUACAAAGGAAAGCAAUAUCAACAGGAUCAGAAGUGGACAGACGGCUGUGAUUAUAACUGUGUGUGUGUUGAUGCUAAGGCAGGAAUCUACCAGUGCACAGAGAGGUGCCCUCAGUUCUCCAAGUUGGAUGACAAUUGCCAUUUAGAGAGGGACAUUUUGAAUCCAUGUUGCAUGAAGCGAGUCUGUGAUCCUACCAAGAUUACAGUGGCUCCAAGUCCAGGGGUUACACCAAAACCUGUUCCCCAUUGUGUGUACAAUGGGGCUUUGUUUAAGGAGGGAGAAUCAUGGGCCGAUGGUUGUGAUCUAACCUGUACCUGUGAAGAUGCAGAAAAAGGUUACUACAGGUGUAAUGACAGAUGCCCAAGAUAUGAUAAUUUGCCAGCAGAUUGUCCCAUGGAGACAGAUCCUAGAGACCCUUGCUGCAAAAGACCACUCUGCAGUCCAACCAGUGCUCCUACACCACCCCCCACUCCAUCCCCCCAGACCAUUCCCCCAUCUCCAUUUGUCCCCCCAACAGCAUCCCCUGGGAUGCCUGUAAUUCCAGGCCAGACUUUCAUACCCCCACAUUUCUACAUCACACCAGGUCCUGGUCUGACCUAUGCUCCUGACCAGCGCCCCACCCCGGGUAUGCAGCCCACCCCUGCUCCAGGACUGACCUAUCCCCCCUACCUGUUCCCGACCCCUGCACCUGCCAUGCCCCCCACACCAAACCCUGUACCCACAGCCGUGUCUGGAAUCAUCACUGGUAUUGGAGUAGGUGGAAAUGGAAGUGCAUGCUUCUACCAUGGCAUUGCUUAUGGACAAGGCCAGAAAUGGGAGGAUGGCUGUCAACUUCUGUGUGAAUGUAUUGACAUGCACAUUGGAAGAUACAGAUGUAAAGAGAGAUGUCCAACAUACUUGGAUGUUCCAAACAACUGUCGAUUGGUUGUAGACCCUAAAGACCCAUGCUGCAAGGUUCCAGAAUGCUUUGACACCCCGACCCCAGCACCAGUGACCCCACCCACUCCUGGCCUGUUCCCCACCCUCACACCAGUACCUGCCACUACAAUAACAGUGGAACCCAAGAUUAAAGAUAUGUGUGUUCACAAUGGUGUUCCAUACACACAAGGACAGAAAUGGUUUGAUGGCUGCAGUAAGGCCUGUAUCUGUGAAGAUGCCAAGUCUGGAUAUUACCGCUGUGAUGACAGAUGCACCACAUACACUAGUAUCCCCACACAGUGUACUCUUGUGGCUGACCCCAAGGACCCAGAAUGCUGCGAGGUUCCUCAGUGUAUAACUGUACCACCCAACCCAACCAAUGGCACCAUUGUUAUCACCGGGGUCACAGGUAUGGUGACCGGUGGAGGAAUCGUACCCACAACACCUAUGCCAGGUUGCUUCUACAAGGGUAAAUUCUACGCUGAUGGACAGAAAUGGCAAGAUGGAUGCGACUACAAUUGUGAAUGUAUUGAUGGCAUGAAUGGAAAAUACCAGUGUUCACAGAGGUGUCCUUCUUAUCCAAUUAUUCCACCACAAUGCCAGCUGCAGAGAGAUGAAAAUGAUAUUUGUUGUUACAAACCAAAAUGUGACUUCUUCAACCCCCCAAGCACUCCCUCUCUGGGUCCAACCCUGACUCCAACCCCAUCACCAACACCAGUGGCUUUCUGUGUGUACAAUGGACUGCCAUACAGCCAGGGCGACACAUGGAACAAGGGCUGCAGUCAGACAUGUCGCUGUGACGACGCCCAGACUAACUACUACUCCUGUUACGACAGGUGUCCUUCCUUUAACAACCUUCCAGAUGGUUGUAAGAUGGUGGUAGAUCCCAAUGAUGCAUGCUGUGAGGUACCAGAGUGCCCCAAUGUCCCCACCCCUGCCCCAUUCGUCCAGCCCACCCUUGCCCCAGGGGUCUCUCCCAGCCCAACAUACCCAGUCCCCACCCUGGCUCCAGGAAUUAUCUCUGGAAGUGGACCCAAGCCAGACCCUAACACUGGAAUUGGACAAUAUAUUGGUUAG